UUCACUGUAGAAUUGAAUUUUGGG
rnacentral:piRNA from 1 species